AUACGUAGGGUGCAAGCGUUAAUCGGAAUUACUGGGCGUAAAGCGUGCGCAGGCGGUUUUGUAAGACAGAGGUGAAAUCCCCGGGCUCAACCUGGGAACUGCCUUUGUGACUGCAAGGCUAGAGUACGGCAGAGGGGGAUGGAAUUCCGCGUGUAGCAGUGAAAUGCGUAGAUAUGCGGAGGAACACCGAUGGCGAAGGCAAUCCCCUGGGCCUGUACUGACGCUCAUGCACGAAAGCGUGGGGAGCAAACAGGAUUAGAUACCCUGGUAGUCCACGCCCUAAACGAUGUCAACUGGUUGUUGGGUCUUCAUUGACUCAGUAACGAAGCUAACGCGUGAAGUUGACCGCCUGGGGAGUACGGCCGCAAGGUUAAAACUCAAAUGAAUUGGCGGGG
rnacentral:rRNA from 1 species